rnacentral:lncRNA from 1 species
GAUCAAUAUAGUUGGGGUGCAGAUACAGGCCUUCCCCUAGGGAAACACUUGCAUCAGUAUUAGUGAGAGACCAAGUACACAUCUGAAGCAUUCCUGUGCUUUCUGUCCACUUGUCAGGUGAAGUUGCCACGUAUGACUGUCCAUCAGCCAGGAGAUGAACCCCCACCCGUGAGGCAGUGACUCAAGGUGCAAGGGAGUCCGGCAAGAAGUGUGGCGCACCCGAGUUGCUGCCACUGCUUUUUGGAUCACCCAGCACGGUCUUCUGAAGUCUUCCUGAAAGCAUCCCUGGUGAUCUGUGAGCCCUUGGUCGUGUUGCCCGCCUUCUUCCUGUGGGUCUUGCUGGAUGCUCAAUGUCCCUUUGUGGAGC